AUGAACGCUGGCGGCGUGCCUAAUACCUGCAAGUCGAGCGAACAGACGAGGAGCUUGCUCCUCUGACGUUAGCGGCGGACGGGUGAGUAACACGUGGAUAACCUACCUAUAAGACUGGGAUAACUUCGGGAAACCGGAGCUAAUACCGGAUAAUAUAUUGAACCGCAUGGUUCAAUAGUGAAAGACGGUUUUGCUGUCACUUAUAGAUGGAUCCGCGCCGCAUUAGCUAGUUGGUAAGGUAACGGCUUACCAAGGCAACGAUGCGUAGCCGACCUGAGAGGGUGAUCGGCCACACUGGAACUGAGACACGGUCCAGACUCCUACGGGAGGCAGCAGUAGGGAAUCUUCCGCAAUGGGCGAACGCCUGACGGAGCAACGCCGCGUGAGUGAUGAAGGUCUUCGGAUCGUAAAACUCUGUUAUUAGGGAAGAACAAAUGUGUAAGUAACUAUGCACGUCUUGACGGUACCUAAUCAGAAAGCCACGGCUAACUACGUG
rnacentral:rRNA from 1 species